CCCUUCAAAUGCGAAAGCGACUGCCUUCUUGGAACACUCAAAACUAGCAUCUGAUGAAUGCCUACAUUCAGUCCACAAAGCAACAAUCUUAUAAGCUGCUCGUCGGGCAUGAUGGCUCACACCUGUAAUUCCAGCACUCUGGGAGGCCAAGGCAGGUGGAUCGCCAGAGCUCUGGAAUUCAAGAUCAGCCUGGCCAACAGGGGAAAACUCCGUUUCUACUAAAAAUACAAAAAUUAGCUGGGUGUGGUGGCACUCACCUGUAAUCCUAGCUACUAGGGAGGCUGAGGCAGGAGAAUCGCUUGAACCCAGGAGGCGGAGGUUGCAGUGAGCCGACAGUGCCACUGCACUCCAGCCUGGGCAACAGAGAGAGACUCCAUCUCAAUCAAUCAGUCAAUCACUAAGCUGCUACCAAGGGAGCCAUUUAAGUCUUGAGCUGCUACAGCUCCUCCCUUUAACAAGAAUAUUAGAAGAUACCUGCCUCUACUAAAUUUGGCACUUCAUUCUCAGACAUACCACUCUUUCAAUUCUGAUCCAAUUCUACUAUUAAGACAUCUAAACUA
rnacentral:antisense_RNA from 1 species